rnacentral:rRNA from 1 species
CCUACGGGGGGCUGCAGUGGGGAAUAUUGGACAAUGGGCGAAAGCCUGAUCCAGCCAUGCCGCGUGUGUGAAGAAGGCCUUCGGGUUGUAAAGCACUUUCAGUGGGGAAGAAAGCCUUGAGGCUAAUACCCUCGAGGAAGGACAUCACCCACAGAAGAAGCACCGGCUAACUCCGUGCCAGCAGCCGCGGUAAUACGGAGGGUGCGAGCGUUAAUCGGAAUUACUGGGCGUAAAGCGCGCGUAGGCGGUCUGAUAAGCCGGUUGUGAAAGCCCCGGGCUCAACCUGGGAACGGCAUCCGGAACUGUCAGGCUAGAGUGCAGGAGAGGAAGGUAGAAUUCCCGGUGUAGCGGUGAAAUGCGUAGAGAUCGGGAGGAAUACCAGUGGCGAAGGCGGCCUCCUGGACUGACACUGACGCUGAGGUGCGAAAGCGUGGGUAGCAAACAGGAUUAGAUACCCGGGUAGUC